rnacentral:rRNA from 1 species
CCUACGGGAUGCAGCAGUGAGGAAUAUUGGUCAAUGGACGAGAGUCUGAACCAGCCAAGUAGCGUGAAGGAUGACUGCCCUAUGGGUUGUAAACUUCUUUUAUAUGGGAAUAAAAUGUUCCACGUGUGGGAUUUUGUAUGUACCAUAUGAAUAAGGAUCGGCUAACUCCGUUCCAGUAGCCGCGGUAAUACGGAGGAUACGAGAGUUAUCCGGAUUUAUUGGGUUUAAAGGGAGCGUAGGUGGAUUGUUAAGUCAGUUGUGAAGGUUUUCGGCUCAACCGUAAAAUUGCAGUUGAAACUGGCAGUAUUGAGUACAGUAGAGGUGGGCGGAAUUCGUGGUGUAGCGGUGAAAUGCUUAGAUAUCACGAAGAACUCCGAUUGCGAAGGCAGCUCACUGGACUGCAACUGACACUGAGGCUCGAAAGUGUGGGUAUCAAACAGGAUUAGAUACCCGGGUAGUC